rnacentral:rRNA from 1 species
GAUGAACGCUAGCGGCAGGCCUAAUACAUGCAAGUCGAACGGACCUUGAUCUUUCGGGAUCUGGUUAGUGGCGCACGGGUNCGUAACGCGUAUGCAACCUACCUUCCACUGGGGGAUAGCCCGCCGAAAGCGGAUUAAUACCGCAUAUGACCACUGAGAGGGCAUCCGAUCGUGGUAAAAGCUGAGGCGGUGGAAGAUGGGCAUGCGUGCCAUUAGCUAGUUGGCGGGGUAAAGGCCCACCAAGGCGACGAUGGCUAGGGGUUCUGAGAGGAUGGUCCCCCACACUGGUACUGAGACACGGACCAGACUCCUACGGGAGGCAGCAGUAGGGAAUAUUGGGCAAUGGCCGAGAGGCUGACCCAGCCAUGCCGCGUGCAGGAAGAAGGCCUUCUGGGUUGUAAACUGCUUUUACCAAGGAAGAAAACGCCCCCUGCGGGGGUAACUGACGGUACUUGGUGAAUAAGCACCGGCUAACUCCGUG